rnacentral:misc_RNA from 1 species
CGCCGCGCGACCGGAUCCAGCGCACGUCCUGCACCCGACGUCGCCGUCCGACCACCGGGCGCAGGGGCACGCAACCUUCCCUGUGCCACCGCACGCCGCGCAGUACGACCCCCGCGCGCCGCCGCCGGCGCCGGCCAGCGGCGGCGGCGGCCUCCACGCCGAGCACCACCCGCCGUCGGCCGCUGCUUGGCCGACGAGCGCGCCGAGCCCCGCGGAUGCCGCGAGCACGAUGGGCCCGAGCCCGACCAUCUCCCAAGAAUCUGACGGCGUACAAAGUAGCUGCUGCUACUCUGCUUGGUGCUCCGAUCCGAAGAUCUUUAGUCGGAGCUCGAUCGACGUUCAGCUUCGAGCUAGGAUGCGUAUGGCUGUAUGUAUGCG